rnacentral:rRNA from 1 species
GAGGAGCUUGCUCUUCUUGAAUGAGUUGCGAACGGGUGAGUAACGCGUAGGUAACCUGCCUUGUAGCGGGGGAUAACUAUUGGAAACGAUAGCUAAUACCGCAUAACAAUGGGUGACACAUGUCAUUUAUUUGAAAGGGGCAAUUGCUCCACUACAAGAUGGACCUGCGUUGUAUUAGCUAGUAGGUGAGGUAACGGCUCACCUAGGCGACGAUACAUAGCCGACCUGAGAGGGUGAUCGGCCACACUGGGACUGAGACACGGCCCAGACUCCUACGGGAGGCAGCAGUAGGGAAUCUUCGGCAAUGGGGGCAACCCUGACCGAGCAACGCCGCGUGAGUGAAGAAGGUUUUCGGAUCGUAAAGCUCUGUUGUAAGUCAAGAACGAGUGUGAGAGUGGAAAGUUCACACUGUGACGGUAGCUUACCAGAAAGGGACGGCUAACUACGUGCCAGCAGCCGCGGUAAUACGUAGGUCCCGAGCGUUGUCCGGAUUUAUUGGGCGUAAAGCGAGCGCAGGCGGUUUGAUAAGUCUGAAGUUAAAGGCUGUGGCUCAACCAUAGUUCGCUUUGGAAACUGUCAAACUUGAGUGCAGAAGGGGAGAGUGGAAUUCCAUGUGUAGCGGUGAAAUGCGUAGAUAUAUGGAGGAACACCGGUGG